CAGUCGCCACGGUAAUACGUAGGGUGCAAGCGUUAAUCGGAAUUACUGGGCGUUAAGCGUGCGCAGGCGGUUAUAUAAGACAGAUGUGAAAUCCCCGGGCUCAACCUGGGAACUGCAUUUGUGACUGUAUAGCUAGAGUACGGCAGAGGGGGAUGGAAUUCCGCGUGUAGCAGUGAAAUGCGUAGAUAUGCGGAGGAACACCGAUGGCGAAGGCAAUCCCCUGGGCCUGUACUGACGCUCAUGCACGAAAGCGUGGGGAGCAAACAGGAUUAGAUACCCGCGUAGUCCCUGUCUCUUAUAC
rnacentral:rRNA from 1 species